rnacentral:rRNA from 1 species
GACGUAGGAGGCGAGCGUUGUCCGGAAUUAUUGGGCGUAAAGAGCUCGUAGGCGGUUUGUCGCGUCUGCCGUGAAAGUCCGGGGCUCAACUCCGGAUCUGCGGUGGGUACGGGCAGACUAGAGUGAUGUAGGGGAGACUGGAAUUCCUGGGUGUAGCGGUGAAAUGCGCAGAUAUCAGGAGGAACACCGAUGGCGAAGGCAGGUCUCGUGGGCAUUAACUGACGCUGAGGAGCGAAAGCAUGGGGAGCGAACAGG